rnacentral:ncRNA from 1 species
AACGAAGAGGUCGCAGUCAACAAUAGUAACUAGUUGAGUUUCUGCAAAAGCAAAAAACUAGUGAAAGGGGCGAUUGCCGAAGGGUUAAUUGUUGCAGCAGUUAAUUGCCUGGGACGUAAUCUAAUAAAUUACGGACUGUCGCAAAUUAAAAUUUGCGGAGCGCUAUCG